rnacentral:rRNA from 1 species
CCUACGGGUGGCACCAGUAGGGAAUCUUCGGCAAUGGACGAAAGUCUGACCGAGCAACGCCGCGUGAGUGAAGAAGGUUUUCGGAUUGUAAAACUCUGUUGUUAGAGAAGAACGAGUAGGAGAGUAACAGCUCUUACCUUGACGGUAUCUAACCAGAAAGCCACGGCUAACUACGUGCCAGCAUCCGCGGUAAUACGUAGGUGGCAAGCGUUGUCCGGAUUUAUUGGGCGUAAAGCGAGCGCAGGCGGUCUUUUAAGUCUGAUGUGAAAGCCCUCGGCUCAACCGAGGAAGGUCAUUGGAAACUGGAGGACUUGAGUGCAGAAGAGGAGAGUGGAAUUCCAUGUGUAGCGGUGAAAUGCGUAGAUAUAUGGAGGAACACCAGUGGCGAAGGCGACUCUCUGGUCUGUAACUGACGCUGAGGCUCGAAAGCGUGGGGAGCAAACAGGAUUAGAUACCCUCGUAGUC